UACGAAGGGUGCAAGCGUUAAUCGGAAUUACUGGGCGUAAAGCGUGCGCAGGCGGCUUUGCAAGACAGAUGUGAAAUCCCCGGGAUCAACCUGGGAACUGCAUUUGUGACUGCAAGGCUAGAGUAGGGCAGAGGGGGAUGGAAUUCCGCGUGUAGCAGUGAAAUGCGUAGAUAUGCGGAGGAACACCGAUGGCGAAGGCAAUCCCCUGGGCCUGUACUGACGCUCAUGCACGAAAGCGUGGGGAGCAAACAGG
rnacentral:rRNA from 1 species